rnacentral:rRNA from 1 species
CAGCAGCCGCGGUAACACGUAGGGGGCGAGCGUUGUCCGGAUUUAUUGGGCGUAAAGAGCUCGUAGGCGGUUCCGUCAGUCGGGUGUGAAAACUCUGGGCUCAACCCAGAGACGCCACCCGAUACUGCGGUGACUAGAGUCCGGUAGGGGAGUGCGGAAUUCCUGGUGUAGCGGUGAAAUGCGCAGAUAUCAGGAGGAACACCAACGGCGAAGGCAGCACUCUGGGCCGGUACUGACGCUGAGGAGCGAAAGCGUGGGGAGCGAACAGGAUUAGAUACCCUGGUAGUCCACGCCGUAAACGUUGGGCACUAGGUGUGGGACCUUUCCAACGGGUUCCGUGCCGCAGCUAACGCAUUAAGUGCCCCGCCUGGGGAGUACGGCCGCAAGGCUAAAACUCAAAGGAAUUGACGGGGGCCCGCACAAGCGGCGGAGCAUGUUGCUUAAUUCGAGGCAACGCGAAGAACCUUACCUGGGUUUGACAUGUAGGGAAAAGCUGCAGAGAUGCAGUGUCCUUCGGGGCCCUACACAGGAGGUGCAUGGCC